rnacentral:rRNA from 1 species
GAUGAACGCUGGCGGCGUGCCUAAUACAUGCAAGUCGAGCGAACGGACGAGAAGCUUGCUUCUCUGAUGUUAGCGGCGGACGGGUGAGUAACACGUGGAUAACCUACCUAUAAGACUGGGAUAACUUCGGGAAACCGGAGCUAAUACCGGAUAAUAUUUUGAACCGCAUGGUUCAAAAGUGAAAGACGGUCUUGCUGUCACUUAUAGAUGGAUCCGCGCUGCAUUAGCUAGUUGGUAAGGUAACGGCUUACCAAGGCGACGAUGCAUAGCCGACCUGAGAGGGUGAUCGGCCACACUGGAACUGAGACACGGUCCAGACUCCUACGGGAGGCAGCAGUAGGGAAUCUUCCGCAAUGGGCGAAAGCCUGACGGAGCAACGCCGCGUGAGUGAUGAAGGUCUUCGGAUCGUAAAACUCUGUUAUUAGGAAAGAACAUAUGUGUAAGUAACUGUGCACAUCUUGACGGUACCUAAUCAGAAAGCCACGGCUAACUACGUG